rnacentral:rRNA from 1 species
UACGUAGGGUCCGAGCGUUGUCCGGAAUUACUGGGCGUAAAGAGCUCGUAGGUGGUUUGUCGCGUUGUUCGUGAAAACUCACAGCUCAACUGUGGGCGUGCGGGCGAUACGGGCAGACUAGGAGUACGUGCAGGGGAGACUGGAAUUCCUGGUGUAGCGGUGGAAUGCGCAGAUAGUCAGGAGGGAACACCGGUGGGCGAAGGCGGGUCUCUGGGCAGU